rnacentral:rRNA from 1 species
AGGCAAAGCCGCGAGGCAGAGCAAACCCCUAAAAAGACCAUCCCAGUUCGGAUUGCAGGCUGCAACCCGCCUGUAUGAAGUUGGAAUCGCUAGUAAUCGCGGAUCAGCAUGCCGCGGUGAAUACGUUCCCGGGCCUUGUACACACCGCCCGUCACACCAUGAGAGUCGGGAACACCCGAAGUCCGUAGCCUAACCGCAAGGAGGGCGCGGCCGAAGGUGGGUUCGAUAAUUGGGGUGAAGUCGUAACAAGGUAUC